AACAGCUUUACGCAAUGAGGUUUUGGAGAACAGAUUAGGUCAGACCACAAUUGUGCAGCAAGUGGAACAGAAAUUGGAUGAUAAGCUUGGCUCUGUGUCCAAUACACUAAAGACAGAGCUGUCUGAUGAGAUGCAGCGUAUUUAUGAUAAGAUAAACACAGAGAGAUCCUCCAUGUCUGAGGCCUUAGAGGCUAGGCUGUCAGAAGACCAUGACCAGCUAAAGAAUAUCUGUAGCCAGCUAGAAACUCAGAUAGGCAAUGUUACUCAUCAACUAGAUGCAACGGUGCAAAAUACCCAGCAUAGGGUUGAAGAAUUGGACAAUGCAAUUCAAUCAGUUAUUGAAGCAUCCAAGGUAGCAGAUCAUAAAUUUGAGUCUAGAUUUGAAUGUUUGGAAGAUAAUUUACAGUACAGGGCUGACAGAUUACAUAGGUCCAUAUGGUCGAUUGCUGAGGACUCAAAAUCAGCAAAUCAUGACCUCGAAUCUAGACUCCAAUACCUAGAAGGCAGUUUCCAUGCCAUCCAGAUGCUGCCUAAGGAUGAUCGUAUUAAAGAUCUAGAAAAACAUGUAGAUGAGCAGUUAGAGCGAUUUACAGAUUCACUAACAUGCUUGGAAUCUUUUAUGAUUAAGGAGAUUGAAACUUUUCAAAAGGAUAUCAUUGCCAGGCUUAAAGAUCAUUGGGAUGCCUCAAAAGCAGAAUCACUCCAAUCCCAGGCACCUACUCCACCCAGGUAUCGUGACUAUUCUUCUAAGGUUGUUACUCGUACACCAUUAGUGUACCCAGCUACCAUGGUAGAAAAGCCAGCUUCUAAGAAACACCCUCAUGGACGGAUGGCUUAUGAAUGGCAACCUAUACAGCUGAAGGAUCUUAAGAAUAUUAAAGAAUCAGUUGUCUCAUAUGGUCUCCAUAGCCCAUACGUAAAACAGCUAUUACAUUCAUGGGCAACCUUUAACAGGGUGACACCCACAGAUUGGGAACGAUUGGUAGCAGCUGUACUUGAGAAUUCAUGCCAAAUCCAGUGGAAGGCAUUAGUAAGGGAAGAGGCAAAGCUCCUUGAGCGUCAGGGCAUAAAGGAAGGUUUUGAAGCCCCUCUAGAUAAGCUUCUUGGUCAGGGUAUUUAUGCUGACCCACAGGUUCAGGCUGAAUAUGAUGACGAUAUACUGUCUCUAUGCAGGAAAGCAGCAUUAAAUGCCUGGGAUAAGGUUCGUGAGCCAGGAGAACGCCUAGAAGCUUAUACCAGAAUCGAACAGGGACCUACAGAACAGUUCCAGGAUUUCUUACAAAGGUUAACUAGGGCAGUAGAAUUAUAGGUAACAGAUCCAGAAACAAG
rnacentral:lncRNA from 1 species